GGGCACUUGGUGUAGUUGGUUUAUCACGCCUGCUUAGCAUUCAAUGUUAUCUUGCGGGAGGGGACUGGUUCAAUUCCGAUACUGUCCA